AUGAUGGACUAUAGGACAGGACUGCUGCUUUUUACUGUCUGCUGGGCAGGUGUUAAAGCUCAGACUCUGACAGAAUCUGAAGCAGUGCUUAAAAGGCCUGGAGAAUCCCACAGACUGACCUGUUCAGCCUCUGGAUUCACAUUCAGCAACUACCAUAUGAACUGGGUCAGACAGGCUGCAGGAAAAGGACUGGAGUGGAUCGCCUGGGUUGAGCGUGAUAAUGACAGAAAAUUCUACUCUCAGUCAGUUAAAAGCCGGUUCACCAUCUCCAGAGACAACAGCAGACAGCAGAUGUAUCUUCAGAUGAACAGUCUGAAGACUGAAGAUUCUGCUGUUUAU